UCUUCCGGCGGCCGCCCGGUCGUCUUGUUCUUGCUUUGCGUAGAUCUUUUAGCUUUUUUUCUACCGGUCUUAUCUUCUUGGCAGUUCGAUUCGUUUCGUUCGUCUGAUGCAUCCCCCGUCAGAUCUGUCACUUUCGUUUUAUUAUGUGAUUGAUGUUGCUGCCCUGUUCUAUUCUCUUGGGCUUCUCUGUUGAAUUCUUGAUGUAGAUGGAAGUGAGGAUCCUUUCCCCAGCUGAUCGACUAUGAUUAUACUGUGCGCAAAUGUAAUCCUUUAUCAGAGGAUUCCAAGCCAGAAAUCUGAUCCAUCUCAUCGAACUGUCUCUGCUCCUCCCUUUGUUGUAUUUUCUUUCUUAUUUAUUUGUCGUGAAAUCAAAUUGAAUGGACGUGAGGAUCCUUUCCCCAAAUGAUCGACUAUGAUUAUACUGUGCGCAACUGUAAUCCCAUCAGGAUUCCAAGCCAGAAAUCUGAUCCAUGGUUCUUCCAUAUUUUAUUCCUGUUCUUCGAUUUUUGUUUAUUGUUAUUAUCGUUCUAAAUUUGGAUGGACGUGAGGAUCCUUUCCCCAAAUGAUCGACUAUGAUUAUACUAUGCGCAAAUGUAAUCCCAUCAGGAUUCCAAGCCAGAAAUCUGAUCCAUCCACUUUAUUAUUAUUUUCCCCAAACUAAUUUUUCUCUUAAUGGAAGUGAGGAUUCUAUCCUCAAAUGAUUGACUAUGAUUAUACUGCGCGCACAUCUAAUGUGAAGCGCUGCACAAUGAGAGUUCUCAAUCUCAUGCUUUGAUGCUACAGAAUGAUUCAUCGAGCAUCGAAAUUACUUAAUUGAUUCAAAAGCUAAUGGAAAAUCUCAGGAAAAGCAGCUCUAAUGUGUUGUAUCCAGUUUGUUGACCUUGAGUCAUGUUGAACCUUAGAGUUGUACGAAAUGAUCCGACUGAUGGAAACUAGUUUACUUCAGUGGGUGCACGGUUUUGCUAAAUCAGUUUAUUUCGGUUUGCAUCCAUUCAGGUUUGGAUACAGGAAUUGUUCUCACUGUGAUUCUGCACUCAAAUUGUAUGCACAGUAGUUGUUUUAAGGUUGACCAUGUGUAUUAUACACUAAUAAACUGUAACAAGUAAUUAUAUUUCCAUGAAUCAUUAUUUUCCAAGGGAUGUACUCCCUCCGGUCCUUUUUAGUUCGCAUAUAAGAUUUAACCUCGUAAACUUUGACCAAGUUUAUAGAAAAAUAUACUAGCAUUCAUAAUGCGAAAUCAACAACAUUAGAUGCGUCAUGACUUUAAUUUUCAUAUUGUAUAAAUUUAGAAAUUUAGAUGUUAAUAUUUUUUCAUAUAAAUAUGGUCAAACUUCACUUCAGACAAUUCUUAUAUGCAAAGUAAAAAGGACCGGAGGGAGUGUUAUCUUACUUUAUUCUGGUGAGGUCGAUUUGACCGCUGGAUAUUGAUUCAUGGUGUUAGCACUGAUGCCUUUUCUUUCAUUCUCUUCUGUUGAAUUCAUUAUUGUUUAUUGUCAUUCUUGUGAUGUGAUGGUGAUUCAUAUAGGUUUUUGGCAGUGGUGGCAUUUGUCACCGUUAGCUUUUACUUAUCUUUCCACUGAGCAGUGCUUCCAGAUUUCAUAAUUUUUAUUGUUUAUUUUGUCUCUGUUUUUCUCUAAUGUUACUUUGUCUGCUGUGCUGCGAUUCAGUCAAUAGACAGAGCUUACUUAACUAUAAUAUUUGCUGUGGAUGUUUGGGGAAAUCAAUUGUGAUUAUGAUAGAACCAAGGCUUGUUUCUCGAAACAUUUGCAGAUGCCGCCUUCAGGGUUUUCACCCUGCCAGGCUUUAGAGAUGAUGAUCCUUUCUGGUGCCUCUAUCUUUUUGCACACAAACAUUUUCACAAGUGCUGGAGUACAAUGUACUAGACAUGUUUAGCAGAAUGAUAGUUUCCCUAUCCAAAUUAAUCUAUUUUUUUGUUGCUUAUUUUUCCUUUCUUUCUGUCGUGUGAAUAGAAUUGGAUAUUGUUGACUGGUGGUGAUUCAGGUCCGAAAGGAUCUUAGCAUAUUUCUGUGACGCGGAUUCAUCCGCCAUUUAUCGAUUCAUGUUUUUACACAGACUGAAGCCUUUACCUUCCAUCAUCUUCUGUUUAUUUCAUUUCCGUUUCCUCUGAUUUUGUGAUGUGGUGAUGAUUCAUAUAGGUAUUUGGCAGUGGUGGCAUCUGUCACCAUGAGCCUCCAAACCAAAAAACGACUUCUCUUUCCACUGAGCACUGCUUGAAGUUGUCAUUCUUUCCUUUUUGUACUACAUCUUGUCCCUGGGAAGAGCACUAGACCAGGAAGUGCCGUAUGACACUGUAAACAGCAGCCGCUUCUCUGCUUCUGCAAGUGUCCAUUCCUGUAUCAUAACCUCUGUGGUUUGCUCUGGGAUGGAAUACCAUUUGCACCGGCCUGAUUCAGCUGUGUGUGUGAUUUGAAACGGGUCUCUGAGGGACUAAGCAAUGAUGUCUGUUCUCUUUCAACCUUUCUUUUUUUCCUGUUUUCUUGGGCCCGAUGCCACGUCUCAGGUAGCAACAUGCCUUUACCGGAGAUGCUACAUUGUGCCAACAAAGAUUUUCACAUUUGAUAGGAACCUGUGGCUGUGAUUCAGUAGGUACACAGAGCCGUUUUUUGUGAUUACACGUAUUGCCUCGCUGUAAUAAUUUUUGUAGUUUUUCUAGGAAAUCAAUGGCAAUGAUGAUAGAACUAAGGCUUGUUUCCCAAAACAUUCGCAGAUGCCGCCUAAGAGCUUUCGCCCUGUCAGGCUUGAGAGCUAAUGCUGCUAAUUCCUUCCUUGGAUGUCUGAGCCAUGAUGAUUUCCCUAGUUUAUUUUGUUGUUUUUGUUGCAUCUGAUCUUUCUUGCCGAUAUAUUUCACUCUCUCAGGGAACUGGUUGACAAAUGGUUGGCCUUACCUUUGGAAUGUUAAUACGGUAUAAUAAUUAUCUCAUGAUGGUCUAUCAUUUACUGUGGUAAAUAUAAGCUGAAUUUUAGAUUCUUUUGAUGUUAAACAUUAUUAAUCUUAAAUAGGGUGGCAACUGUUGUCUCUCUAUUCAUUGUUCUUUCUUUGUUAGUUGUCUAAUUCGGAUCUUGGAUGGAAAUCCAUGGAAGCAGGUGAUGACACCAAGACAGGGACAUCAGAACCAUGUAAUGGGUAUGAUAGACCAAGUCUAUAAUGGGAAUCUCUCUGAUGUUAUCCGUUUUCCAAGCCUAUGCGAAUUUUAGUUAUUUUCUUGCGUCUGCUUUGAUUGUCAGCACCAGUGAGGCAGCUUUUCUUAGUUUAUCAUUUUGUUUGGGAUUUUGUUGGUGCUAUCAGCUUGGUUUAGUAAGUUGGUUGGAGCAAACUGCCGGUGAUGGUGUUAAAUAUACUUUGCAGCGUUUUGCUUUGAAAUGAA